UGAUUCCAAAUAUGUUAGAAUCACGAUUCGAAACAACAACAUAACUCUAUUCCUUAUGUGUUAGAAAUUCGAUUCCUUAUAUUAAUGAAUAUUAGCGCCUGAAGUUGAUUAUAAGGGAUUGCAAAUCUCGAUUCUAAAAAAACCUCGAUUCCAUAUGUGGUUGAAAUUUAGAUCUAUCAAGAUCGAAACACAAUUUUCAAACACUAAGAAUAUCGUUCCUAGCGAUUCCUAUGAACAACGAUACCUAAGAUAGGAAUCUUGUAGUCGGCCGCAAUUCUGCGAUUCCAGCUCCUGGAACGAUUCGGGUUUCCGCCAACAACUAUGGUUUCAAUCUCUCUCUCUCUAAGUGGCACACCACUCUCUCUUCGGUCACACUUUUGUGGCACACCCAAAGCUAUUCCUCUCCCUUUCUCUCCUCCAUAAGAUCAAAAGCGUGUGUUCAAUUAAAGUGAGAGAAAGCUCCAUUGAUGAUGAAUUCAAGCUUAAUCAAAGCCAUGGAUGAUCUAGUUUUCAAGACCAUCAAUUGAGUGAUUGCAGGCAUAAAAUAUUGGUGAGUCGUCAGAGGAACGAUUGAACGAAAUCUCAGUUUGGCCUCUUGGCCUAUACAUAAAAUCUGGUUUGCAGCAUGAGCUUGGUUGGAAGCAUUGAUCUGCCCUAUUUUCGGGUCACUGUGAUGUAGUUAUCUAUUGUGCCCGGUUUGAUUGUGGUGUUUCCAAUGUAAUAUGUUUCUAUGCUUUUGUCAUUGGCAUGGUGAUUGGGUUUAGGGAGAAGUGGUGUAACUUAUAUUGUGCAGAAUUUUUGUUUGGUUUUUGAGGGACAGUUGGUGUGUUGGUUGUCUGAGAAGGACUCCUUGAUGUACAUUAUAGAGGGAAUUUUUUUAUGACAGUUUAUGGACAUUUGGUAGAAAUUCUCUUUCC